GCCGCCGCCCGGCAGAGGGCGCUGCAGGCGCCGGUCUCGCCGCGCGGCGCCCGCCGGGACAGCGACGAUGGCGGCCCGUGUCCUCUCGUCCUGCGCCCGCCGCCUGCUGCCGCUGCCCGCCCGCCCCGCCGCGCUCCGCUCCCUCCGCCGCCUGCCGCCCGCCGCGCCCGCCCCGCCGGGCCGCCCCGCGCCGCCCGCGCUGCUCCGGCUGCCGCGCGUGGCCGCGCCGCUCUGCCGCAGCUUCUCCGAGCUGCCGCCGCUGACCUUGGCCGACAUCAAGGACCGGGUGCUCUACGUGCUCAAGCUCUACGAUAAGAUCGACCCCGAGAAGCUCACAGCCGAGUCCCACUUCAUGAAGGACCUGGGCCUGGACAGUCUGGACCAAGUGGAGAUCAUCAUGGCCAUGGAGGACGAGUUCGGUAACGGCGCCCGGGGCUGCUGGGCCGUGCGAGCGGCGGCACCGCCGGAUUUGAAAUUCCUGACGGAGAUGCAGAGAAGCUGAUGCGCCCACAGGAGAUUGUAGAUUACAUUGCAGAUAAGAAGGAUGUUUAUGAGUGAAGCAGUUGCUCAGAGGAGCUGUCCCACACCAGGACUGGGCUGGUGCCGGCAGGGAUGGACGGGAGUGCACACGCUGUCCCACUGCUGCCUUCUUUGGAAGCUGCACGUGGAUGUUGUAUUUAAAGCUGUCUGAAUGUGUUGUCCUUUAAAAACAAGAAAAAAAAACAGGAAUAAAGAGUUAAGACCA